UAUAUAUAUAUAUAUCAUAGGGUGUCACAAAGUGUUGCAUAUGAGAUCACAAAGUAGACUAAACCAUCACAAAGUAUCACAUCUAGCUGGGCAUCUUCAAGUCAUGUACAACUCCAGGAAUUAGCCUCGCGACCAUCAGCUCUACACACACAUGCUAAACUCCAACUAUGCUACUGGAAAGGAAACCACACACAACUACUCGCUAUGUCGAGAAGAUUAAAACACCACAUCAGGUUGACUGUAGCUCCGUGCAACCAAUCAUCGUUGCUGCUCCAUCCCUUAUUCACAUACCCACUACAAUUAACCAAACAAAAAAGAGGUUCAGACAUAGAUUUAUCAUAUCAAAUAGAUUCAGACUCAAGAGCAUCAUUCAUCAUACUAAAGGGAUUUUUUCAGUCAAAUAAACUUGUCAAGCAUAUAACAGCAUCCUAAUAGACAAGAACCUAUUGACACCAAAUCUGAACUAGCCUAGUACAAGAAUAAAUAUGACAUGUACAACAGCUCCUCCUAGUACAGCUACAGCUCCUAGUACACAUCAUUUAGCAGGAGCAAACAUGACAUGCAAAACAUGAGCAAGUAUUUACACGCAGAGCAGCAGGAGCAAAUUAAAUAUUUGUUAGAACCAAAUCUGAACAAGCCACAUACAUGUACAACUGCUCAUCAGGAAAACGAGCAACAUGAGAGGAACCUAGUGGCCUCAUACAAUUCAAUCAAGCAGUAUAUCAACCACAAGAAUAGAAACCAGAGCAGAGCAUGCAUAAGUUGGGGAAAUAAAACCGAGUCGAGAGGGAGGGAUCAACCUUACCUGGUGGUUGAUCAUCGGCUCGGCCGUGGGGUCGUGUACUGCUCAUCGUCCUUGUCUAUUUUGUUCAUGGACAGCGCCCACCCACAGCAAUUAACCAAAAAGGAAAAAGGUUUAGACUUAGAAAUUCACCGUAUCAAAUAGAUUCUGUCUCGAGAGCAUCAUUCAUCAUACCAAAGCCAUUUGUAUGUCAAACAAAUAAACUUGUCAAGAACUUGACAGUCUGAAUAAGACACCCCCUUAUCAUCUAAAUCUUGAGAAAUCAGAGGCCCAAAGAAAAAACUUCCAAAAUAGUAAAACAAAAAGAAUAUUAAGAUAACUGGUUAUGUAAUAACAUGCAACACAAAUGUACACAAACUAGUGAAACUGUUGCAUGAGAUGAAAAGUAGCCAAGAUUACAUGAUCUUGAAUCCAUGGUUGCUGCAUGUUAUCAAAUAGAAUCAACUGCAAUUUUCUCAUAACAAUUCAUAUUCUGGUUUUUGUAUUGGACAAACAGUGAACAUAUGCAAGAGCCAUUUGCUUCAUACCCAUUACUGCUUGAAUCAGUAGUUAAUACUAUCUUCUAUUAUUAUUUCACUCAAGGAGAUAAAUAAAUGAAGUUUUGGCAGUAGUGCAGAGGCAAAAGGAGAAAUAAAGAGGCAAACUGAGAACACAUCCAACACAGGAGUCCUUAGAAGCAAGAAUAUUCACCUGGAUUCCUAUAUUAUAGAGCAUCCUUACUGUACUGAACUCUCCGUCUUCCUUCUCCAAUUUCAAAAUCAAGGGCGGUGCUGCAAAUAAACAGUUCAAGAGAGAAGAGAAAGAAGUUACAAACUAAUAUACCGGUUUAUCAAAAAAGUGCAAAGCAGUGAGGUUUACAUGGCCAUAUAGAAGUAACAUCACAGCAGUAUAUACCUUCCAACUCUAACAGCAACACGACCAUGGGACUUUGAGGAAAAACUCAAAAUAGGAUGUAUGUCGGGGCAGUGCUUGCCCCUAUACUUAUAUAGUAACUUCACCAUGGAUGCAUAGCUGUCAUGCAUGCAAGCAGCAGGUCGGCCAAGAGAAAAAAUGUGUCGGCUCUAAGAAAGAUAAAUCAUAACACAAGAAAACCAUGGAUACAUGUAUUAACAAAUGCCAUUAGGAGCGUGACCAGCAGCAAAAUAACAUCAAAGGAAGAAGCUUGAAUGAUACAAAACAGGAAUUGAUAUACAAUGCAUUUUCCAAAAGGAUACUAACCCCAAAGCCCAUAAUUAAUCAACCCAUAAAUAUUAAAAUAAAAAACAGAAGUUCCUACGUGCAUAGAUAAUAAGGACCUAACAUGGCCAAUGGCAAGGAAUUGCCUCACAGCGUAUCAUGACAUCAAUGAGAACAAGGCAUUUGUUUCGAUCGCAUAGAUCCUUCCUCAAUCAUUAAGUAUAUCAUAAAAGCAGGAAUACCAAACCUGAAAGUCUGUGAGGGAUGACAAAAUACUAAUUGGCAUUGUACAUCUAUUUUCACUAAAGUGAUGGCACAACCCAGAGCCUACCCGUGUCUCAGUUCUGAUAAAGUGUGUAAUUAGAAAACUAUUUCAGUUCUGUAGAGCAACCCAAACCAUGUACCCCCAUCUACUCGUUGUAGAAAGAUUACCCGCUCAUGAGGACCUGGACAGCAAUAAAGAAACCAAUUGGAGAUUAUCGAGUUCAUCUUAUACUUCCUGGAUCCAUGGGAGCACAGACGGCAAACAUAUAAUGUGUAACCUUGUAGAGAGGUGUUGUGAUAGGUGUUACAUAUAAUUAGUUGUGUGGAUUUGAACUGCAAACAUACCUGGAUACAACCAAAGUAAUAACUAUGCAUUGAUAAAGAGAAGAGUACGGUUGUUUAAUGCCCCUGCCAAAACAUGAACAUCCUCUUGCCAGAAACAAAUAGUAGAAGGGAGCAGUCAUAAAUUAUUAUUAUUUAAUAGAAGGAGCAGUCGUAAUUGUUGUGCCCAAACAUGUAUUUUGUACCAUUAUUGAGAAUACAUAUUUUAAGAACAUCAAUCUCAUAAUAUAACACAGGAAAUAAUUUGAAUGCAGAGUACUCCAAUAUAGAACAUACAACCCAUAGAAUGAAGGGAAGGGAAGGGUCGGACCUGUCCUUGACGAGCUUCUCCAUGGCGUGCCUCUCCUAACGAGCACAAGCAGGUCCUGUCCCGGCGCGGAUCUGGCCGCCGCCAACAUGGCCAGACGGCUAGGGUUGGAGGAAGGGAGGCCAUGGUGGUGCUUCUGCUGCUGGCCGCACCUACAGAGACGACGAGAGACGGGGGGGGGUGGUCAGAGAAAGAGUCGGAGAAGAGAAGGGGAAGUAACACCAAAACGCCGUCGUCGAGGUAGCCACCGUCGUCGUCGUUGCCGUCUGUCACCAUGGCCCGGCGGCUAGGGUUUCCAGCGCAAAGAGUGAGGGAGGGCGGGCGGAUCUGAGCGCGAAGAGUG
rnacentral:lncRNA from 1 species